UUUUUUUUUUUUUUUUUUCCUUCAGAAAGAAGGACAACUUAGUUUCCUCGGUUGAAACAUCCUGGAAAUUGCUCGACUUCUGUUCUCUGACCAUUUUAGAACACUUGAAUAUCAGUUAGCUCGUAUCAAAUGAUUUUAUGAGUAUCAAAAUCAUUGUAGUAGAGAAAUAUAGAGAAACCUUGGUUGAUUUAGGCCAAAUGGCUACGACAAAAUUCCAUAGAUUUUUAACUAGUAUCACUGAUGAAGGUGCUGGAAUACCACAGUAUAAUUCUUUGCUAGAAGAAUAAGAGUACUUGUAAACACUUCCUGAAUAAUUUCAGGACAUCUGAUAAAUUACAUGACCUUGAGGCGGUGGCAAGUUUGCUUAUACAUUUACAUAAUCUACAUGCAUAAUGACUGAUGCAUUCAUUGAGGAUAAUUUAAAUAAACAAGCAUAUUCAAAUCAAACAUUUACAAUGAUAGAAUAAUAUGCAUCAUCAUCUUUCAUUUUACCUUGUUGCAACUUGCAACAUUAAGAGCAUGGCAGCCAAUCCACCAAAGUUAAAAGCUCUCAAACAUCUGUGCUGGUCCUGUCCAUGAAAAAAUGUUGAAAAAAUAUUGCAUUAAAAGCACAAAACGAAGACACAUUUUUCCACAUAAGCAUACCAUGGCUUCCCAUCUUUGCCAAGUGAUUAACAUGAUUGGAGUUGCAGGGUCCCAGCUUGUCAAUGAUAAACAUCUAAUUCUCUUCCUGCUGCUUUUGAGCUUCAGACAUUUCCUUUAUUAAAAUCGCUACCAUUUCCUCAUUUCCUAACUUCAUAUAUCCUUCAAUAAAAGCACCAUAAAUCUUUGGAUUUGGCUCAAACCCUUUGCCUGCCAUCUUGGCCUGAAGCUUCAAUGCUUCUUCCAUCUUACCAUCCUCGCAUAACCCGUUAAUCAAGAACUCGUAACUCUUCCCACUUGGAUGAAAACUAACAUUUCUCAUUGCAAUCCUCAUAAUCUCCAAAGCUUCAGAAACUUUUUUCUUCUCACAGAGCCCUCCAACCAACAAAUCUAUAGUUGAAGCUUCAGGCCUAAAAUCUUUCCUACACAUAUCCUUAUACACAAGAAUCGCAGAAUCAACAUCCCCAACUCUACAGUAGCCAUUGAUUAGGUGCUCAAGAGUAACGCAAGUACUUUCUCCUCCACUCAGUUCCAUUUCUCUUAAAAUCUCCUCAGAUUUCUCGAUGUCCCCAAUCUUGCAAAAUCCACCAAUGAUAGUAUUAUAAGCUGCAACAUCAGGCUUUAUUCCCCUUGCUCUCAUUUCUUCCCAUGACUUCUCCGCUUCCUUUAUCUUCCCUUCCUCACAAAACGUAGCCAGCAAGACACUAUAGCUAAACCCGUUUGGAACACAUCCAAAUCUCUCCAUUUCAUUCCAUGCCUCCUCAACCAUCUCCAUUUCACCAUCUCUGUAAAAGCCCAUCAUCAACUCAUUAAAACUAUGUACAUUAGGCCUGGCUCUAACAUUCCUUUUCACCUCUUCCUCAGUCUCAUUAUCCUUGGAUCCAAAAACCUCCCUAAAAAGUCCAUAACCCGCGUAAGACCCUCUAUACCUUGAAACGCUACAAAUCAACGAAUUACAAGUUUUAAUUUGUGGGUUAAUCCCACGAGACCUCAACAUCCUCACAAUUUCUAUUGAACCAUCAAUCUUUUUCAACUCAAGACAAGAUUUUAUCAACAAAUCAAACACAAACGGAGCAGAAUCGCAUUCCCUAUACGUUUUCACUAGCACCUCUAAGAAUUUCACUGGUGCAAUACUACGAUCAAACAACACGGGUGAGGUGAGAGCAGCCCGGAUAAUAGACUGGGCAGGAGACUUGAGGCGAGCCCGGGAGAGGAUGUGGAUGAUGGUGGAGUAAGAGUACAGGUUGUGGGAGCAGAAAGAGUUGUGUAGAGUGAAGUGGAAGAAGCGGAGGGCAAGAUGGGGAUUCGAUUUUAAAUGGAAAGCGAUUUGGGAAAAGUGCACAGGGGUGAGGGUGUUGGUAGAUGAAAGGAGAGAGCGGAGAUGGUUCCAUCGGGAUUUGGAGCGGUGGUGGGUAAGAAGUGAAACGACGGUGGAAACUAUAGGGGGUUGAUCGGCCGAUGUAGAUGAUUGGGAGGAGAAGUAGGAGAGAGAAUUGGGUUUUAUGAGUUUUGGAGGAGAGAGAAGGACUCGUUUCAGAGUGGGAGCUGCCAUCGAAGCGAAGGCAUCACUCGCAGAGUUCACUAGCGGCCGGCGCAGAGAGAGACAGAGAAACGGUAAGUCGUUUGCCGUUUAAAAAAAAAUGCG
rnacentral:misc_RNA from 1 species